rnacentral:rRNA from 1 species
UACGGGGGGAGCAAGCGUUGUUCGGAUUUACUGGGCGUAAAGGGCUCGUAGGCGGCCAACUAAGUCGGAUGUGAAAUCCCCAGGCUCAACCUGGGAACUGCAUCCGAUACUGGAUGGCUUGAAUCCGGGAGAGGGAUGCAGAAUUCCAGGUGUAGCGGUGAAAUGCGUAGAUAUCUGGAGGAAUACCGGUGGCGAAGGCGGCAUCCUGGACCGGCAUUGACGCUGAGGAGCGAAAGCUAGGGGAGCAAACGGG